rnacentral:rRNA from 1 species
UACGGGGGGGGCAAGCGUUGUUCGGAAUUACUGGGCGUAAAGGGCUCGUAGGCGGCCAACUAAGUCGGACGUGAAAUCCCCAGGCUCAACCUGGGAACUGCGUCCGAUACUGGAUGGCUUGAAUCCGGGAGAGGGAUGCAGAAUUCCAGGUGUAGCGGUGAAAUGCGUAGAUAUCUGGAGGAAUACCGGUGGCGCAGGCGGCAUCCUGGACCGGCAUUGACGCUGAGGAGCGAAAGCCAGGGGAGCAAACGGG